rnacentral:lncRNA from 1 species
UGGUGAGCCGAGUGUAAAACCAACGUGUGUAAGGGUUCGAUUGUGAUCCCGGAAAAACAAUCGGGGUGGUUCUAGUCGGUAAGCCUGGGAAAACCGACCGAGUUCGUUGUGAGCUCGUAAAACAACAAGUUUGGUUGUGAGCUUGGAAAACAACCGGCUGUAAUCCAAGAGGUUAUAGUGAAUUCCCAAGUGAGGCGUGGGGAGUGGACGUAGGAGCAAGGGUUAGCUCCGAACCACUAUAAACAUCGUGUUUGUGAUUGCUUGUCUCUCUUUCUCUCAUUCUC